GCCUCAAAACUUGGAAAUAAAGCUUGAUUUCAUCUUCCAAGUGGUGAAGUAUUGAAGGUUUAAAAUAGUGAUAUUGUGUUGCUCUUCAUCCACACGGGUUUACCAUUAUUUGGUCCUCUAUCUUGCCUCUUGAAAGAGGCUAAGAGUUUAAGGUAAUGAUGAAAAGGCUGGGGAGCAAGGCAUUACUGGAGAGAGAGAG